AUGACGCCCAGGCCCAGCCUUCGCCGCCGCCCCAGCUCGCCGGCGUCGGCGCCGCCGCUGGACGACGACGACCUCCUCUCCGAGAUCCUCCUCCGUCUCCCUCCGCAGCCGUCCUCCCUCCCACGCGCCUCCGUCGUUUGCAAGCGCUGGCGCGGCCUCGUCUCCGACCCCGGCUUCCUCAGCCGCUUCCGGAUCCACCGCCGCCGCCACCCUCCCCUCCUCGGCUGCUUCGUCAAAAAUUCCGAUGAGCUCUACUUCGAGCCUACCCUGGAGCUCCCCAACCGUGUCCCGCGCGGCCGCUUCUCCCUGCAGAAUCUCCCCAGCGACAGCUUCCUGCUCCUCGGAUGCCGCCAUGGCCUCGUGCUAAUCUUCGAGUGGAGGAAGUUCCAGAUCCUGGUGUGGGACCCCGCCAACGGCGCCCAGCAAAGCAUUGCCUCCCCCCGGGGGUUUCACAUGGUGGAGACCCUGAUCCACCUCCAGGGGGCAGUGCUUCGUGCUGCCGCAGACGACCAGCACUUCCAGGUGUGUUUGGCAGGCUUGGAGAGAGGCUCCCAACGAAAUUAUGCGCGAGUGAUAGCCUGCGCUUACUCGUCCGAGACCGGCAGCUGGGGUAAUCUCGUCUCAACAGCAUUUCCAUCCGUGCCUUAUCUGCAUGUAGAUCCCACCAUCGUUUUCAUGGCCAAGCCCGGUGUGCUGGUUGGGGAUUUCCUUUACUGGGCGCUUACUGGGAAUUUUGUUCGAAUUAUCGAGUUUGAUCUGAAGAGGCAGAGCCUAGCUGUGAUAGGGAUCCCGGUGGAUAUGGAUUCUUGGAGAGAUCACGAGUACUCAGUUAUGCGGGCUGAUGAUGGUGGGCUUGGUUUCCUCUUUCUGUCAGACUUCAGUGCCCAAUUAUGGAAGAGGAAGACCGAUUGUGAUGGUGCUGCUCCAUGGGUGCUGGGAAGAACUAUUGAACUGGGCAAGCUACUUUCCCUAAAUUUACAUAGUGAGAGGGCGCCCCUGAGGAUUCUAGGAUAUGCUGAGGAAAAUAAUGUGGUGUUCUUGUCGACAGUUCACGGUGUCUUCAUGAUCCAGCUUGACCCAUUGCAGUCAAAUAAUGUGGUGUUCUUGUCGACAGUUCUCGGUGUCUCUCCUCUCUAUUAUCCAUUCGAGAGUCUCUACAGCAGUUGGUAG
rnacentral:rRNA from 1 species